CAUCUUCAGUCUUUCCAAUUCAUUACCAUUACAUCUUUCCUAUCAUCAUCACCCUAUUACAUGAUGCAUUACAAUACAGAACAUCCAAUACAAUCAAUACAUUACCAUUGCAUCAUGCAAAUCCAAGCCAAAAUUACAAUUGCAGUGACAAUCCAUGACAAUACACAACAAAUUCUAUGUUUUGAGAUUCCCUCUUUAAGUCUAUCAACUUCCAUUUCCUUUAUCAGUGUUUCUUUCUUCAAAAUUUUCAACUUCUGCUUCAGUUUUGCAUUUUUAUCCAUCACUAAGUUCACCUCUUCAAUUGGCUUGCUCAUCGCACUUGUUGCUUCAUCUACAAUGGAAGGCACUUCAACCCAUUCAAAAUAUCCACAAUAUCUCCCAGAUUCCUAUCAAAUUUGGUAUCAUAGAGUUAAAACAGAGUUACAUAACAAACAUGAUUUAACAGAGAGAGGGAUGAAAUGCACAUUACAAAUUGGAUGAAGGAAACUAACCCAUAGUUCCGGCAACCAUAAAACAUUUUGCCUUUUGACCUAUCUUUCUUCGAAACACAAAUACGCGCUGGUACAUCACAAUAACAAAUACGCUUGCCUACACCAGUGGUUGACAAUGAUCUAGAUCGUGAUGAAGUCAUAUCAGAUGCACGGUAACUUCACACUUACCUCAAUACCAGGUAUCAAAUAAAAGCCCUAAUUUUUGUGCACUUGUUGUCUGCAAUUAAGCCCUAGUUAUGAUGUUCUGCACUUCAAUCACUGAUAUAGAUGUUGAAAUGGACCUUUACAUGGAAUAUCUCCUUCGAUCGACGCCUUCCCCCUAGAUCUCGCUUUCCUCUCCGAACUCGAUAGUUGCUUUCCAACUUCGUAGCUUUCUUCUCAGAACUCAUACUCGAUCUCCUGUAACUGAUUGACUUUAUUGCAAACAUCAGCUAAGCCACGUAUUUUAUCAUUUUUAAAAUAAAGCCACGUAGGAAUAAACAACCAAAAUGUCAACGGCUGUUAGCAAAAAUAGACGGAAUGGCCUUAAUUUUUAAUUUUAAAAAGUACAAUGGGCUAAUUGAAUAUUUUUAAAAUUGAAUGGCCAAUUGCUUACAAG
rnacentral:lncRNA from 1 species